rnacentral:rRNA from 1 species
CCCUUAGAUGCUCUGGGCCGCACACGCGCUACACUGAAGGAGGCAGCGUGUACUCCUGGAUCGAAAGAUUUGGGUAACCCGCGAAUCUCCUUCGUGCUAGGGAUUGAGGUUUGCAAUUAUCCUUCAUGAACGAGGAAUUCCCAGUAAGUGCAAGUCAUAAGCUUGCGCUGACUACGUCCCUGCCCUUUGUACACACCGCCCGUCGCUACUACCGAUUGAAUGAUUUAGUGAGGACUUCGGACUGGGACCGAUGCGGCUUUCGGGCUGCGUCGGUAUUCUGGAAAGAUGUCCAAACUGUAUCAUUUAGAGGAAGUAAAANUCGUANCA